rnacentral:rRNA from 1 species
UACGUAGGGUGCGAGCGUUGUCCAGAAUUAUUGGGCGUAAAGAGCUCGUAGGCGGUGUGUCACGUCGGCCGUGAAAACCUGCAGCUUAACUGUGGGCGUGCGGUCGAUACGGGCAUCACUGGAGUUCGGCAGGGGAGACUGGAAUUCCUGGUGUAGCGGUGAAAUGCGCAGAUAUCAGGAGGAACACCGGUGGCGAAGGCGGGUCUCUGGGCCGUAACUGACGCUGAGGAGCGAAAGCGUGGGGAGCGAACAGG